GUCGAAGUGGCGGAAUUGGCAGACGCGCCAGCUUGAGGGGCUGGUGUCCUUAGGGACGUGGGGGUUCAAGUCCCCCCUUCGACA
rnacentral:tRNA from 1 species